rnacentral:lncRNA from 1 species
AGGGCUAUGAGUUUUUCUCUUAGAAAUGGUUUCAUUAUGUCCCAUAAGAUUGGAUAUGUUGUGGCUUUAUUUUCAUUAAACUCUAAAAAGUCUUUAAUUUCUUUCUUUAUUCCUUCCUUGACCAAGGUGUUAUGGAGAAGAGUGUUGUUCAGUUUCCACGUGAAUAUUGGAUUUCUAUUAUUAAUGUUGUUAUUGAAGAUCAGCCUUAGUCCAUAGUGAUCUGAUAGGAUGAAUGGGACAAUUUCAAUACUUUUGUAUUUGCUGAGGCCUGUUUUGUGACCAAUUAUAUGCUCAAUUUUGGAGAAGGUACCAUAAGGUGCUGAGAAGAAGGUAUAUCCUUUUGUUUUAGGAUAAAAUGCUUUGUAGGUAUCUGUUAAAUCCAUUUGCUUCAUAACUUCUGUUAGUUUCACUGUGUCCCUGUUUAGUUUCUUUUUCCAAUAUCUGUCCAUUGAUGAAAGUGGUGUGUUGAAGUCUCCCACUAUUAUUGUGUGAGGUACAAUGUGUGCUUUGAGCUUCACUAAAGUUUCUUUAAUGAAUGUAGCUGCUCUUGUAUUUGGAGCAUAGCUAUUCAGAAUUGAGAGUUCUUGAAAGACUUUACCUUUGAUGAGUAUGAAGUGUCCCUCCUCAUCUUUUUUGAUAACGUUUUGGUUGGAAGUCAAUUUUAUUCGAUAUUAGAAUGGCUACUCCAGCUUAUUUCUUCAGACCAUUUGCUUGGAAUAUUGUUUUCCAGCCUUUCAUUCUGAGGUAGAGUCUGUCUUUUUCCCUGAGAUGGGUUUAUUAAGCAGCAAAAUGUUGGGUCCUGUUUGUGUAGCCAGUCUAUUAGCCUAUAUCUCUUUAUUGGGGAAUUGAAUCUAUUGAUAUUAAGAUUAUAUUAAGGAAAAGUAAUUGUUGCUUCCUAUUAUUUUUGUUGUUAGCAUUGUCAUUCUGUUCUUGUGGCUAUCUUCUUUUAGGUUUGUUGAAGGAUUACAUUCUUGCCUUUUCUAGGGCAUAGUUUCCAUCCUUGUAUUUUUUUUUUUUUUUCUGUAUCAUCCUUUGAAGUGCUGGAUUCAUGUAAAAAUAUUGUGUGAAUUUGGUUUUGUCAUGGAAUACUUUGGUUUCUCCAUGUAUGGUAAUUGAGGUUUUGGCUGGUUAUAGUAGCCUGGGCUGGCAUUUGUGGUCUCUUAGUGUCCAUAUAACAUCUGUCCAGGAUCUUCAGGCUUUCAUAGUCUCUGGUGAAAAAUUUGUUGUUAUUCUGGUAGGCAUGCCUUUAUAUGUUACUUGACCUUUUUCCCUUACUGCUUUUAAUAUUCUGUCUUUAUUUAGUGCAUUUGUUGUUCUGAUUACUAUGUGUCUGUAGGAAUUUCUUUUCUGGUUCUUUUUUUUUUUUUGUUCUGUAGGCUUCUUGUAUGUUCAUGGGCAUCUCUUUCUUUAGGUUUGGGAAGUUUUCUUCUUUAAUUUUGUUCAAGAUAUUUGCUGGCCCUAUAAGUUGAAAAAUCUUCAUUCUCAUCUACUCCUAUUAUCCGUAGGUUUGAUCUUCUCAUUGUAUCCUAGAUUUCCUGGAUGGUUUGAUUAUGAUCUUUUUGCAUUUUGCAUUUUCUUUGGUUGAUGUGCCAAUGUUCUCUAUGGAAUCUUCUGCACCUGAGAUUCUCUCUUCCAUCUCUUGUAUUCUGUUGCUGAUGCUUGCAUCUAUGGCUCCAGAUUUCUUUCCUAGGGUUUCUAUCUCCAGCGUUGUCUCACUUUGUGUUUUCUUUAUUGUGUCUACUUUCCUUUUUAGGUCUUAUGUGGUUUUGUCCAAUUCUAUUGUUGUCCUGUUUUUCUUUAAGGACUUCUACCUCUGUAGCAGUGUUUUCCUGUAUUUCUCUAAGUGAGUUAUUAAAGUCCUUCUUGAUGUCCUCUACUAUCACCAUGACAAAUGCUUUUAAUUCUGCGUCUAGCUUUUUGAGUUUGUUGGGCUAUCCAGGACUGGCUAAAUGGGAGUGCUGCGUUCUGAUGAUGGUGAGUGGUCUUGGUUUCUGUUAGUAAGAUUCUUACGUUUGCCUUUUGCCAUCUGGUAAUCUCUGGAGUUAGUUGUUAUAGUUUUCUCUGGUUGGAGUUUGCUCAUCCCGUGAUUCUGUUAGCCUCUAUCAGCAGACCUGGGAGACUAGAUCUCUCGUGAGUUUCAGUGGUCAGAGUACUCUCUGCAGGCAAGCUCUUCUCUUUCAGGGAAGGUGCACAGAUAUCUGGCAUUGGACCUGCCUCCUGGCAGAAGAUGAAGGCCCAAAACAGGGCCUGUCCCUGAAGCUGUGUCAAUUCUGCCUGUCCCAGAAGCUGUGUAGCUUCUGUAGUCCACACUCUCACCUGAGCAGACUAGUCUCUGAGAGAUUCCGGAGCAGAGAUGGUUGCCCCAGGUGCUCCAGCAAAGCCCUUCUGAGAUGGGAGGACACCUCUCCUCUGGCACGAAAGUGCCUGGAUGUCUGGAGCCCAAAAUGGGGUCUGCCCCAGAAGCUCUGUCACUUCUGCCUGUCCCAGAAUCUGUGCAGCUUCUGUAGUCGGCACUUUCAGCUGCGCAGACUAGUCUCUGAGGGGUCUGGGAACCAAGAUGGCUCCCCCCAGGUGCUCCAGCAAGGCCCUCCCAAGCAGGGCAGACACCUCUCCUCUGGCAGGGAAGGUGCCAGGAUGUCUGGAGCCGAAUUGGGGUCUGCCUCAGACACUGUGCUGCUUCUGACUGUCCUAGAAACUGUUAGCUUCUGUAAUCCACACACUCACCUGUGCAGACUAGACUCUGAGGGAUCCAGGAACCAAGAUGGCUCUCCUAGGUGCUCCUGUAAGGCCCUCCCAGGCAGAGCAGACACCUCUACUCUGGCAGGGAAGGUUCACGGAUGUCUGGAGCCCAAAACGGGGUCUGCCCCACUAGCUGUAUCACUUCUUCCUGUCACAGAAGCUGUGUUGUUUCAGUAGUCCACACUCUCACCUGUGCAGACUAGUCUCUGAGAGAUCCGGGAACCAAUAUGGCUCCACCUGGUGCUCUGGCAAAGCCCUCCUGGGCUGGGCAGACACCUCUCCUCUGGCAGGGGAGGUGCCUGAAUGUCUGGAGCCCAAAACGGGGUCUGCCCCAGAAGUUGUGUUGCUUCUGCCUGUCCCAGAAGCUGUGUUGCUUCUGUAGUCCACACUCUCACCUGUGCAGACUAGUCUCUGAGGGAUCCCGGAACCAAGAACCAAUCUUAUCUUGGUCGCACUAAACACUUAACACUUAGCACACUCAACAGUAUCAUCUACAGAACUCUUUUUACUUGUAAAAUGAACAAUGUAUGUAAUAAAUAAUUAAUUUUAAAUUCCCAUUUCCCUCCCAGGAUAAGAAAACCCCCAGUUUGUCUUCUGUCUGUGUGAUAUUAUUUUAAGCACCUCAUUAAGUGAAAUCACAGCAUGACUACAUUUCUGAACAACUGACUUAUUUUUCUCAAUAGUGUACAAUCAUCAAGGUGCAUAUGUAUCUGCAUAGUGUAUGUCAGGUCUUUCUUUUCAAGACAAAUGCACCAUUGUAUAUAUAUGGAUCACUUGCCUUACCAAUUCAUGAUCAAUGGAUAUAUACAUAUUGUUUCUAUUUUGUCAGUUGUGAUGCUGCUCUGAAAACAAUGUACACAUACCUAUUAAAGUACUUGCUUUUAAUUCUUUUGGAUAAACCCCCCAAACUGAAAUUGCUAGGACACAUGAUAACUCUUUCAGUUGUUAGUUAUUCAGGAUACUUGUAUUUUUUCCGUUGAGGUUGUACUGGUUUUUAUUUUCACACACAGGUUCCAAGAAUAUCAUUUAUUUUAGAUCCCCAACUAAAUAUGAGAUAUUUAGUUUGUUUUUAUUUUUAUUUUACUAUUCUGAUGGAUGCAAAGUGGAAUCUUAUCAUUUUGAUUUUUAUUUCUCUAAAGAUUAUUGGUUUUUAGUUCUUUCAUGUGCUUAUUAGUUAUUUAUGUGUCUCCUCUGGAAAAUGUCAGCUCAUUUCCUUCAUCCAUUUUAAAUUUGGAUUGUUUCUUUUAUUACUAUUUUAAGAAUCCUUUAUAUACCUGACAAUUAAACACAUACCAUAUACGUGGUUUGUAAAUAUUUUAUCUCAUCACUUGACCUGCCACUUUACUCUGAUGAUGAUUUUGAUAUACAAAACUAAUUUAAGAAGGUUUUUGGCACACAGGAAGGCUAGAGCGUGGAAAGGACAGAGUGGUGCAAAUAUAGUACUCUGAUAUGAAGUUCUAAAAAAAGAAAAACAUUCUAAAAAAAUUAAGCUAAUCCAGAGUCCUGUGUCUCUGGUUUUCUUUCCAAUUCUUGCACAUUGAGCAUCAGAUCUGAAAAGUAAGUGCAGUGUUUACAUUCAAGAGUUGUUAUAGCUUGAAGGCUCUUUAUUAUAUUUUUACCUAUUAUUGGGUCCUUUUUGUAUAUGGAGCUAGUUGAUUUCAACUUCAUUCGUUUGUUUAUAUUUGUGCAUAAGAACACAUACAAACAUCAGAUGCACAUUCAUACC